rnacentral:rRNA from 1 species
AUACGGAGGGUGCAAGCGUUAUCCGGAAUCAUUGGGUUUAAAGGGUCCGCAGGCGGAUUAAUAAGUCAGUGGUGUAAUCCUCUCGCUCAACGAGAGAACUGCCAUUGAAACUGUUAGUCUUGAAUUCGGUCGAAGUAGGCGGAAUGUGUCAUGUAGCGGUGAAAUGCAUAGAUAUGACACAGAACACCGAUAGCGAAGGCAGCUUACUAGACCUGGAUUGACGCUCAUGGACGAAAGCGUGGGGAGCGAACAGGAUUAGAAACCCUAGUAGUCC